AUUGAACGCUGGCGGCAUGCUUUACACAUGCAAGUCGAACGGUAACAGGCCGCCAGGUGCUGACGAGUGGCGAACGGGUGAGUAAUGCAUCGGAACGUGCCCAGUCGUGGGGGAUAACUACUCGAAAGAGUAGCUAAUACCGCAUACGAUCUAUGGAUGAAAGCGGGGGACCGUAAGGCCUCGCGCGAUUGGAGCGGCCGAUGUCAGAUUAGGUAGUUGGUGGGGUAAAGGCUCACCAAGCCAACGAUCUGUAGCUGGUCUGAGAGGACGACCAGCCACACUGGGACUGAGACACGGCCCAGACUCCUACGGGAGGCAGCAGUGGGAAAUUUUGGACAAUGGGCGCAAGCCUGAUCCAGCAAUGCCGCGUGCAGGAAGAAGGCCUUCGGGUUGUAAACUGCUUUUGUACGGAACGAAACGGCUCUGGUUAAUACCCGGGGCUAAUGACGGUACCGUAAGAAUAAGCACCGGCUAACUACGUG
rnacentral:rRNA from 1 species